GGGGUCUACCUGAGCCCGCUGUUCAUCUAUGCGCUGGUCGCCCUGGGGCUGACCGUGCUGGUCCGCAUGCUGAUGCAGCUGACCCCGCUCGGUCGCUGGAUCUGGCACGAAGCCCUGUUCGACUGUGCGCUG
rnacentral:sRNA from 1 species